rnacentral:lncRNA from 1 species
CCACCGGCCUCUGCCAAAGCCACAGCAACACGGAUCCAAGCCGCGUCUGCGACCCACACCACAGCUCACAGCAACGCUGGAUCCUUAACCCACUGAGCAAGGCCAGGGAUGGAACUCACAACCUCAUGGUUCCUAGUCCGAUUCAUUAACCACUGCACCACAACGGGAAUUCCCUUUAACAGCUUUUUAAAGUAUAAUUUAUAAUAGCAUAAAAUGUAUGCUUUUGGAGUAUACAGAUCAAAUGAGUUUUAGUAAAUAUCACAGUUGUGUAACCAUCAUCACACUCAAGCUUUAGAAUACUUUUAUCGCCCCCGAAAAUUCCCUUGUGUCCAUUCGCCAUCAAUCCCUGCUUGCACUCCCAGCUUUGGGCAAUUUGCUUUCUGUCUCUAUAGUUCUGCCUUUUCUAGCUAUUUCACAGAAAUGAAAUCACAGGGUAUGCAUUCUUUUGUGUGUGUGGCUUCUUUCACUUUAUCUGUUAUUCCAUGUAUAAGUAGCUGGCUACUUUUUAUUGCUGAGUGACACUCCAUUAUGUAGAUAUACCACAUUUUGUUUCUCUAAUCCCCAGGUGAUGGAUGGACAUGUGGAUUGUUUCCAAAUAUUCAGAGAUAUUGUGAGUAAUAUAAACAUUUGGAUACAAGUCUUUGCAUUUCUCUUGGGCAGAUAUCUAGAAAAGAAAUUGCUUAGUAAUUUGGAAAAUAUAAUUUCAAUUUUUUAGGAAACUUCCAGGGAAUUUUUCAAAGUGAACUAUAUCAUUUUCCAUUUUUAUCAGCAACAUAUGAGAGUUCUGGUUUCUGUGUAACCUGCAUAACAUUCAGUAUUCUCAAUCUUUUUUGAUUAUAUAUAUUUUAGAGGUGUGUAGUAUAUUUUCAAUGAUGUUUUAUUCUGCAUUUUCCUAAGGACUAACAAUGUUGAACACAUUUUCAUGUGCUUAUUUGCUAGUCAUAGAUCUUUCUGGUGAGGUGUCUAUUCAAGUUUUUACCCAUUUUUUAAUUGUGUUCUGUGCCUUCAGAUUAUUUAUUGUAAGAUUUUUUUCAUACUCUGGGCACAAGUCCUUUAUAAUAUAAAUAAUUUGCAGAUAUUUUCUCCCAUUCUUUUUACUUGUCUUUGUCUUUUCAUUUUCUCAAUGCUAUCUUUUGAAAAGUAAACAUCUGAAUUAUCUUUUGUUGUUCAUGUUCUUUGUGUCCUCUCUAAGAAAUCCAAGGUCACAAAUAUUUCCUUCCCUGUUUAAUUCUAGACUUAAGAUACUUAUAGUUCUCACAUUUAAAUCGAUGAUCCAUUUUGAAUAGGAAUUUGUGUAUGGUGUGAAGUAAGAGUCCAGUUCUUUUGGUUUUGUUUUUAUUUUGCAUAGAGACAUGCAACUGUUCCAGUAUCAUUUAUUGAUAGACUCUCUUAUCCCAUUGAAUUACCUUGCAAGUCUGUCAAAAAUCAAGUGACCAUAAGUGGGUUUAUUUCUGGACUCUUUGUUCUGUAUAAAUGAUCUAUUAGUCUGCUGCUAAUACCAUGCUAUACUGAUUAUUGUAACUGCAGUAAGCUUUGAAAAUUAAGUAGAAAAAGUUCUUCAACAUUGUCCUUUUUAAAAUUGUUUUGUUUAUUCUAGGUACUUAGAAUUUUCAUUUAAAUUUUAGGAUCAAAUUGUCAAUUUAUAUUUUAAAAGGCUUAUGGGAUUUGAUAGGGACUCUGUUGAAUCUAUACAUCAAUUUGAAAAAAGAAUUGCCAUUUUAACUAAACUGAAUCUUCCAAUCCAUGAAUAUAGUAUAACUAUCCAAUUAUUUAGGUCUUCAUUAUUUUCUCUCAGCAAUGUUUCAUAGUUUGCAGCAUACAGUUUUUGCUCCUUUUUGUUAAACUUAUGUCUAAAUAUUUUUAUCUUUUUGAGUCCAUAGUAAACAUCAUUUUCUUAAUUUUAUCCUUGGAUUAUGAAAUGCUAAUAUAUAGAAAAAUAAUAAUUGAUUUUUAGAUACUGAUCUUGUAAACUUCCUAAGCUUGCUUAGUACUUCUAGAUUUUUGACAGAUAUCCCCCUCCAUACAAAUCAUAGUCUGUAAAUAAAGAUAAUUUUACUUCUUAUGUUAUAAUCUGUAUAUCUUUAUUUUCUUGUUCUUGCCUUAUUGCACUGAAUAGAAUCACCAGGGCAAUGCAGAAUAAAAGAGACAGGAGAAGAUAUUCUUCAACUCUUAAGGAGAGAAAGCAUUCAAGCUUUUAAUAUUAAACAUAUUGUUAGCCGUAGUUCUUUAUCAGGAUGAGGAAAUUUUCAUCCAUUCCUAAUUUUUUGAGAAACUUUGUCAUUAAUGCAUGAUUGAUAUUUUUUAAAAUAUUUUAAAUAUACUGAGAUAAUCAUAUGUUUUUGUCCCUUUUUUAUUAACAUGGUGUAUUACACAAAUAGAUUUUUACAUAAUAAAUCAAUCUUGAAAUGCAAGGAGCUUAGGAGUCACUACUCCAUUCUAGUAACAAAUAAAAAGAUAAAAAACUUGAAAAAUCAACUCUUCUUAGAUCCAUCAAAGAAGCAAGGCCACAGGACAAACUGCUGCUCCAAAAAUUGGAUAUACAGAUAGGCAGAUACAGAGAAUCACAGAUUACUGAAGCAGAAACCCACAAGGAGAAACAUCUAUGGACAUACCAGGAUAGGAAAAUGUGAACUCUAAGUGACAAUUGUUAGAGGCUCAGUGUGCACAAGACUGAGAGAGAAAAACUCCAGGAGGACCCAGUCAUGGGAUGGGAGGCACACUUUUCUAAGUUUUAACACUAAGAACUCUACCCUGUUCUUCCUACAACUCUGAGAGACCGCUCCAGUAGGGGAAGGGAAAAAGGAAUCAUUUUGAAACACACCAGACCAUUCUGUUUUUCUUAACAAGUCCCGCCUUCAGGAGAAACAAUUUUACUAGAGCCUAAUCUACCUGGGAAAAGAGGAAUAUCAAACUCCAGCUCCCUUUACCAUCCUGUCCCACCUAACAGGAUUGGGAAGACGGGGAAUAGGACACACUGUGGAUGUUCACAAUCCAGAGGCACAGGGUCAUCAAAAGACUGACACUAAAUGAUAGACUGGAGAAUACGUCCCCUUUCCCCACACCUUAUCACUGAAUUAUAAAAGAGCUACUUACCACAGUUUCCUUUUACCCAGUAUAUCAUGUUCCCUUGCACACAAAAAAAAUUAUAUGGCAUACUAAAUGGCAAAAGGCAGAAUUUGAAGAGAUUGGAAAACCAUGAGAACCAAAGUCAGAUGCAGCAUGAAUAGUGGAAUUAAAAGAAUUUUUUUAAACCUAUGGUUUAUGUACUAAGGGCUUUAAUGGAAAAUGUAGACAAUAUGCAAGAACAGAUGAGUAACAUAAGCAGAGAGAUGGAAAUUCUAAGAAAGAAUUAAAAAAGAAAUGCUAAAGAUCAAAAACACUGUAACAGAAAUGAAGAAUGCCUUAGAUAUAUUCAUUAGUACACACUACUAAUUUUCUAAAGAAUCUCUUAGCUUGAGGAUGACAAUAAAAAUCUUCCAAAAUUGAAAAGCAAAGAGAUAAAAGAACAGAAAAGAGUUUCCAAAAACUGUGAGACAACUACAACAAGUGUAACAUACACAUAAUGGGAAUAACUAAAGGAGGAGAAAGAGAUAAAUCAACUCUGCAUUCCUAGAAUAAAUACCAUUUGGUCACAGUGAAAAGCCUUUUUACAUGUUGCUGCUAAUAUUUUGUUAAGAAUUAUUGCCUUUAUGUUUAUGAGAGAUAAUGGUCCAUAGUGUUCUUGUGGUAUCUUUGUCUGGGUUUGGUACCAGGGUAAUACUGGCUUAAUUAAAUGAAUUAGGAGGAAGUUCUCUCAUAUCUGUCUUCUGAAAGAGUUUGUGUGAAGUUAGUAUUGUAUUUUCCUUAAAUGUCUUAGAAAAUUCCCUGGUUAAACCAUCUAUAGCUGGAUUCUUCUUCAUAGGAUAUUAUGCUUUUAAUGAUUUAAUUAAAUCAUUGGGAUCUACGAUAUAUGUAGCUCUACAGUUGUCUUUGAGCAAGUCAUAAAUUCCUAUCUGUGUGAGUUUACAAAAGUCAAUCACGCCAUAAUAAAAAGCACUAUUUGAUUAUAUACAGGCACUAUGGUGGGCAAAGCAUUGAGCUGGGGCUUGUAUUCAAAUUCAACAUCUAUCUUUACUUGGUAGUUAGGCCUCAGUACUUAGGCAUCCUAAGCCACAGUUUCCUCAUUGCUAAAUGAGAAUUAGAGUAGAUUUCUAAGAACAUUUCAUUAUUUAAUUAUUUGGUCUAUGAUAGAAGCACAAAAAUGAAUUUUACCACAAAUGACAAUCUGAGAAAAACUUUUAUAACUCAUAGAACAGAUGAAAUGCUAUUCUUAAUUUAUAAGGAAAUCCUAGAAAAUCAAGAAGAAAUUCACAAAGCAAUAGGAGAAAAUCCAUUCACCCUUUAAGGACACAUGGUCCUUAAAUACAUGAAAAGUGGUUCAACAUACCAAAAUCAAUGAUCUAAUGGAGUGCCCAUUGUGCCUCAACAGGUUAAGAAGACUAGUAUCCAUGAGGAUGUGAGUUGGAUCCCUGGCUUUGCUCAGUGGGUUAAAGCAUCCAGCAUCACCACAAGCUGCAGUGUAGAUUGUGGAUGUGGCUCAGAUCUUGCAUUGCUGUGUCUGUGGCACAGGCCAGUGGCUAUGGCUGCAAUAUGACCCCUAGACUGGGAACCUCCAUAUGCCAUGAGUGUGGCCUUAACAAGACAAAAAAGAAAAAAAUUAACCAUCUACUAACAACAACCAAACAGAUAAUGCAAUUUUUAAAAGGUAAACAUUUAAAAAGCAAUGAAAGACAGCAAAUAUUUAGGAAUUCAUCUAAUUAAUUUUGUGGAACUCCAAAAAAAAAAUUGCUGAAAGAAAUUAAAGAAUGCCUAAAUAAAUAUUCAUGAAUUGAAAAACUGAGAAAUGUUAAAAUGUCAAUUUCCCCCAAAUUUAUCUGUAUGUUCAUGCAAUCCAAAUCAAAAUUUCAGCUGGGACUUUCCAUACAUUCUAAAAUUUACAUGGAAUCACAAAGGAAUUAGAAGAGCAAAUACAAUAUUGAAAAAGAAUAAAACUGGGGGAUUUACACAACCAGGUGUCAGUACUUCAAAAAUAUAUAUAUAUAUAUAACUAUAUGAAAUGUAGUUGGUGUGCAAUAUUAUGUUUGUUUAAGGUGUACAACAUAGUGAUUCAACAUUUAAAACCAUCACCACAAUAAGUUAGAAGUCAUGUGUCCCCACACAAAGUUAUUACAGUAAUCUUAACCAUACUCCCUGUGCUAUAUAUUAUAUCCCUGUGAUUUAUUACUUUAUAACUGGAAGUCUUUACCUCUUGAUUCCCUUCACCUAUUUUGCCCAUCCUUCCACCUGCCUCCCCUUCAGCAAACACACAUUUGUACUGUGUAUCUGUAAGUCUGAUUUGUUUUGUUUUGCUCCUUUGUAUUUUUUUUUUUAGAUUCCACAUAUACUUGAGAUCACAUGGUAUUUGUCAGUCUCUGUCUGACUUAUUUCACUUAGCAUAAUGCCCUCUAGAUCCAUUCCUGUUGUCAAAGAUGGUUAAGAUUUCAUUCUUUUUUAAUGGCCGAGCAAUAUUCCAUUCUGUGUGUGUGUGUGUGUGUGUGUGUGUGUGUGUGUGUGUGUGUGUGUCUCACAUCUUCUUUAUCCAUUUGUCUACCAUUGAAGAUUUAGGUUUCCUCCCUAUCUUGGCUAUUAUAAAUAAUGCCACAAUGAACAUAGGGAUGCAUGUAUAUUUCCAAACUAAAAAGACUACAGUAGCUAAAGCAAUGUGCUAUGUGUACUGAUGGAACAGAAUAAGGAGUCCAAAAACAGAUGCACACAUUCACGGUCACUGGUUAACUCCAAAAAUUAUUUAAUAUGCUCUCUUUGCAAACUAACAUUGUUAUUGGAAAUGAAAAAUGUUGCAACCCAUAGAAAUCACUGCAUCUACCUUUUGACAAUCUAACUUCUAG